ACCUUCAGCAAUUUUUUGCUAUCUUCUUUAGAAAUUCCAUUUCUAUCCCCAACCAUCUGUACAGAAAUCUCAUUCUUUCCCUCAUCUUUGUCAACUGAGCUAUCAUCAAGAUGAAUUUUCCUCUUCUUGUUGGCCCUCUGGGGCUUGCAAUUAACUUUAGGUUCCUCUGAACUGCCAACACCAGUUUUUUCAAAACUAUUUGCAACAG
rnacentral:misc_RNA from 1 species